rnacentral:misc_RNA from 1 species
GAAUUUGUGGCUGCGAAUACUUUUGGUGAGUGGCGGAAGUGAAAGAUUUGGUCUCAACAAACAUUGCUUGAAUAGUCACCACCACCGCACAGUACUUCCAUGAUUCUGCGUUUGUGUUGAAGCUUUCCACUAUUUCCGAGAUUUCACAAGCUUAGUUCACCUUACUUGACAAGUUAAAAACAUGAGCUGAUACCAUAAUUUAAAUCUCUCAUAAUUUCAUUAGCAAAAAAUAAUCGUUUAGAUGUUCUAGUUU